rnacentral:lncRNA from 1 species
GGAUACUCAUUCAGAAAAAUCAAUUGUAGGGGAUCGGUCAGAGUGGUGGGAAAAACUAUAGGGAAAGGAUGCAAACCUUCUGAAUGGUCAGAAGGUUCUGCAGAGCCCCAGGGUAGAAUAGCUGUAGGUGGUUGUUCUACAACCCUGAGGCAGAGGGCAAGGGGUAGGUACAAAACAGUGUGGAGGAAUUUAUCUUAAACAGGCUUGUUUACUUAUCUUGACCCGGAACUGACUUUUGGUCAUCAGCACGCAUGACAUUCCCUGAAAGGGAACAAUAAAGGUUAAUUACCUACAGGUUGUGUUGGCUCCAGGUUUUUGGCACUGUGCCUGCACUGAAUGAAAGCAAGCCGCUCCAGCUUCUCAGGGCUGCUCUCUGGCCACUAGAGCGGGGCAGUCACCUAGCUGCUCUUACGCUGCAUACCUGUGUCUUUGAGUACUCAUUUCAUCCAUCAGCCAAGGUCUGUGGGACAGACCCCGCGGGUGGUGCGCAGUGUGAGGAACUCUGCUGCGGAUCGCGAGGGAAUCCUAGUAAACGAAAGUGAAGUGACUGUGCACUGCCCCGUGAACAACACAUGUUUGAACUGCGAGGGCCCACUCAUAAGUGGAUUUUCUUCUGCCUCUGCCACCUCUAAGACAGCAAGACCAACCCCUCUUCUCCCUCCUCCUCCUCAGCCUACUUAGAAUGAAAAGGAUGAGGAUUAAGACCUUUAUGGUGAUCCAAUUCCACUCAUUGAAUAGUAAAUAUAUUUUCUGUUAUGAUAGUCUUAUGAUAACCUCUUUUAGGUAUUAUUUUUUAAUUUUUUAGACUUGCUCUUGAUCUGCUAGCUUCUGCACUUAUUCCCUUGGCUUUUAUAUCUUGAUGCUCACAUUUAGUUUUUUGCACAUCUCCUGUUUCUUCUAAUUUACCAAUUCUGUGGCCCUUGCUCUGGUUUAUGUUUACUUUGUUUUCUCACUGUACUCAUAGCUUUACCUGAUCUUUGAUUUUGACAUUUUCUUAGAGUCUUGGGUGGGAAUUUCCCUACUUAAAUUCUGGCAUAUCAUAAGGCAGUGGCUAGCCAAAGCCCCAGAUUUCACAAGAAGGUAAUUAAUGUGACAUUUUGCCUCAAAUAAAUGAUUCUGGCUGAUGCAGUUACUCAAUAGGUUGCAGUAAAUGAAGACUUUCCUGCUGUCCAUUCUCACUCCCUGUACCUAGUACAAAAACCCAGAUGCAAAUGCUGUAUUAAUCAUGACUUGGCUCAAAAUUCAGUUGACAGAACUACACUUCCAACCAGCACAGCCUAGAAUCCAAUAUAAAAUUUCAAUAAAGUUUCUCUUCAAAUUCAUUCGUAGGCUUACAUAUAUGCAAUAAAGGGUAGAAGAAUCGAGAAAACUCUUCUGCAAAGGUAGUAAAGAAAUAAAACAGUUUUAUUAUUGAAUACAACCUAAACUAGAAUGUGUGGUUCUCAGAAAAGUAGUUAUUCAUGUGCCACAUAAGGAUGUUUCAGUCAACAAUGAGCCAUAUAUAUGAUGGUGGUCCUGUAAGAUUACAGUGGAGUUAUCCUAUACAGGUGUACUAUUUUUUGUGUUUUAUACCAUAUUUGCCUGUAGAUUUUCUGUUUAGAUGCUCAAAUACUUAUCAUUGUGUUACAAUCACCUACAGAAUUCAGUACAGUAACCUGCUAUACAGGUUUGUAGCCUAGGAGUCAUAAGCUGUACCAUCCAGCCUAGGUGGGUUGUAUGCUAUACAAUAGAGGUUUCUGUUGUAUAUGUGAAAGUACAGUCUAUGAUGUUUGCACAGUGACAAAAUUGCCUAAUGAUGCAUUUAUCAAAAUGUAUCCAUGUUCUUAAGCAAUUCAUGACUGUAUAUUACCUUCUGAUAAUGCUUCAUUUUUCAUGUAUCCUAAGGUUAUUUGCAAACUGAGUUCAUUUAAUAAAUUGCAG